rnacentral:rRNA from 1 species
UACGUGAGCCCCAAGCGUUAUCCGGAAUUACUGGGCGUAAAGAGUGCGUAGGUUGUUGUAUUAGUCUCUUGCUAAAUCCAUCGGCUCAACCGAUGAACUCCAAGGGAAACGGUACAACUGGAGUAUGUGAGAGGUGUGCGGAACUCAUGGUGUAGGGGUGAAAUCCGUUGAUAUCAUGGGGAACACCAAAUGCGAAGGCAGCACACUGGCACAUUACUGACACUGAGGCACGAAAGCGUGGGUAGCGAAUGGG